rnacentral:tRNA from 1 species
GCGGCCGUAGUCUAGCCUGGUCUAGGACACCGGCCUUCCAAGCCGAUAACCCGGGUUCAAAUCCCGGCGGCCGCACCA